GCCGGAAGCCCCCUGCUCUGUGGGAACCGGAGGGAGGACAGCGCGAGGUCCCCGGACAAAGCGUGGCGCAUAAGUCCGGCCCGUAACUUGGUGGGCAGGCAACUUAGGGGAUGUGGGCCUGGUUAUAGCUGAGCAUGCUUUUCUAUUCCUCCCAGACCACAGUUCUUCAGACCUGGAGCCACUUUCAGAGAAGAGUAUAAGUUGCACUGAAUUGAAAAAGGGAAAAGUUUAGGACUGCAGAAGAUGGAAUUCCUGGGGACGUUAAACUGGGCUAAGAUGGAGCAGAUAAGAUUUCCUUAAUUAGAGCAAGACACACCUAGUAUCUAGAGCCUGGAAGUCUUGGUCAAGGAUUCUCCCUAACAUCUCAGUUUCUCAGCACUAACAUUCCUGCUACUAAAAUGAAGUGAGAAAUUAAUUUCUGAAGUUAAGUAAAGAAAUAAACUAAAAUUCCUAGAAAAGAGGUAAGAAGAAUGAGCCUUUGAAAAAUGUCUUCACAAAGACUGGCAUGAUGGCAUGGAAGAAAGAGCCCCAGAUAUCCAGUAUACAUCUCAAGGUCAACUUGUCCAAAACAGAGCUACUGAUGAUUUUCCCCUUGAAAUCUACUCUUCCUACAGCUUAUUCAUCUCAAAUAACACAUUCACUCUCAUGGCUUCAACUAGGCGGAAUGUGACUGACCAACAGUGUGGCUCAUCCUUGUGGAGGAGAACAGAUGCCAAUUAAUUUGACAUGACCAUAUCCAACCCAGGAAGUGGGUGGGAGGCUGGAGUACAGUGGCAUGAUCAUAUCUCACUGCAACUUCUACCUCCUGGGCUCAAGCAAUCCUCUUACCUCAGCCUCCUGAGUAGCUGGGACUAUAGUCUCCCUCUCUUGCCAAGCCUGGACUGUACUGCCAUGAUCUCAGCUCGCUGCAACCUCCCUGCCUCGAGUUCUGGUGAUUCUCCUGCCUCGGCCUGACAUUCCAGGCAGGCGCCGCCACUCCUGACUGGUUUUUGUAUUUUUGGUGGAGACGGGGUUUCACCGUGUUGACCGGGCUGGUCUCCAGCUCCUGGCCUCGGGUGAUCUGCCCACCUCGGCCUCCCGAGGUGCUGGGAUUGCAGACGGAGUCUCGCUCACUCAAUGCUCAAUGUUGCCCAGGCUGGAGUGCAGUGGCGUGAUCUCAGCUUGCUACAACCUCCACCUCCCAGCCGCCUGCCUUGGCCUCCCAAAGUGCUAAGAUUACAGCCUCUGCCCACCCGCCACCCCGUCUAGGAAGUGAGCAGCGUCUCUGCCUGGCCGCCCAUCGUCUGGGAUGUGAGGAGCACCUUUGCCCGGCCGCCCCGUCUGGGAAGUGAGGAGCGCCUCUGCCCGGCCACCCCGUCUGGGAGGUGAGGAGCAUCUCUGCCCGGCCACCCCGUCUGGGAGGUGAGGAGCGCCUCUGCCCGGCUGCCCAGUCUGGGAAGUGAGGAGCGCCCCUGCCCACCCGCCCAUUGUCUGGGAAGUGAGGAGCACCUCUGCCCAGUCGCCCCGUCUGGGAAGUGAGGAGCGCCUCUGCCCGGCCGCCCCGUCUGGGAUGUGAGGAGCGCCUCUGCCCGGCCGCCCCGUCUGGGAUGUGAGGAGCGCCUCUGCCCAGCCGCCACCCCAUCUGGGAAGUGGGGAGCGCCUCUGCCCGGCCGCCCCAUCUGGGAUGUGAGGAGCGCCUCUGCCUGGCCUCCCCGUCUGGGAGGUGGGGAGCGCCUCUGCCCAGCCGCCCCGUCUGGGAGGUGAGGAGCAUCUCUACCUGGCUGCUCAUCAUCUGGGAUGUGAGGAGCACCUCUGCCCGGCCGCCCCAUCUGGGAAGUGAGGAGCGCCUCUGCCCAGCCACCCUUCGUCUGGGAGGUGAGGAGCGUCUCUGCCUGGCCGCCCAUUGUCUGGGAUGUGAGGAGCGCCUCUGCCCGGCCGCCCCCUCUGGGAAGUGAGGAGUGCCUCUGCCUGGCCGCCCCAUCUGGGAGGUGUACCCAACAGCUCCGAAGAGACAGCGACCAUUGAGAACGGGCCAUGAUGACGAUGGUGGUUUUGUUGAAAAAUAAAGGGGGAAAUGUGGGGAAAAGAAAGAGAGAUCAGAUUGUUACUGUGUCUGUGUAGAAAGAAGUAGACAUAGGAGACUCCAUUUUGUUCUGUACUAAGAAAAAUUCUUCUGCCUUGGGAUGCUGUUAAUCUAUAACCUUACCCCCAACCCCGUGCUCUCUGAAACAUGUGCUGUGUCAACUCAGGGUUAAAUGGAUUAAGGGUGGUGCAAGAUGUGCUUUGUUAAACAGAUGCUUGAAGGCAGCAUGCUCCUUAAGAGUCAUCACCACUCCCUAAUCUCAAGUACCCAGGGACACAAACACUGCGGAAGGCCGCAGGGUCCUCUGCCUAGGAAAACCAGAGACCUUUGUUCACGUGUUUAUCUGCUGACCUUCUCUCCACUAUUAUCCUAUGACCCUGCCACAUCCCCCUCGCCGAGAAACACCCAAGAAUGAUCAAUAAAUACUAAAAAAAAAAAAAAGUUAUUUCUUCUAAUCAAUAUUUCCAAGAGUUUCAACCUCUAAUUUUAAAUCUCUCAGUUUGAUUUCCUCUUUUACUGUCUUUCCUAAGGUGAUUAGCAUUUGUAAUUGCCAGAAGGAAUUAAGUCCCCCAAACCGUAACCUGAUGAAUCACAGAUAGUCAGGUCAAUCACCAGCCUUAUUAAAUAUUCACUUAAAAGUUUAAGUAGUUGUAUUUCAUCACCUAAAAGUUAUAAUUCUACAGUACAAAGGACUUUUUCUUAAAUUAACAUGAAUAACCAGUUAUGUGAUGAUAAAUAAACUUUUUAAGUAAGGAA